rnacentral:rRNA from 1 species
CCAGACUCCUACGGGAGGCAGCAGUAGGGAAUAUUGCUCAAUGGGGGAAACCCUGAAGCAGCGACGCCGCGUGGGUGAAGAAGCGCCUCGGCGCGUAAAGCCCUGUCAGCAGGGAAGAAAAUGACGGUACCUGAAGAAGAAGCCCCGGCUAACUACGUGCCAGCAGCCGCGGUAAUACGUAGGGGGCAAGCGUUAUCCGGAUUUACUGGGUGUAAAGGGGGCGCAGACGGCGAUGCAAGCCAGGAGUGAAAGCCCGGGGCCCAACCCCGGGACUGCUCUUGGAACUGCGUGGCUGGAGUGCAGGAGGGGCAGGCGGAAUUCCUGGUGUAGCGGUGAAAUGCGUAGAUAUCAGGAGGAACACCGGCGGCGAAGGCGGCCUGCUGGACCGUGACUGACGUUGAGGCUCGAGAGCGUGGGGAGCAAACAGGAUUAGAUACCCCUGUAUG